rnacentral:rRNA from 1 species
GAUGAACGCUAGCUACAGGCUUAACACAUGCAAGUCGCGGGGCAGCAUGGGGGUUGCUUGCAACUCCCGAUGGCGACCGGCGCACGGGUGAGUAACGCGUAUCCAACCUGCCCUUCACCACGGGAUAACCCGGCGAAAGUCGGACUAAUACCGUAUGUUGUCCAUUGACGGCAUCCGAUUUGGACGAAAGGCUUUGCGGUGAAGGAUGGGGAUGCGUCCGAUUAGCCAGACGGCGGGGGAACGGCCCACCGUGGCUACGAUCGGUAGGGGUUCUGAGAGGAAGGUCCCCCACACUGGAACUGAGACACGGUCCAGACUCCUACGGGAGGCAGCAGUGAGGAAUAUUGGUCAAUGGGCGUAAGCCUGAACCAGCCAAGUAGCGUGCAGGAUGACGGCCCUAUGGGUUGUAAACUGCUUUUAUGCGGGGAUAAAGUGGCCCACGUGUGGGCUUUUGCAGGUACCGCAUGAAUAAGAACCGGCUAAUUCCGUG